rnacentral:rRNA from 1 species
AAUCAACGCUGGCGGCGUGCCUAACACAUGCAAGUCGAACGCGAAAGCCCUUUCGGGGGUAAGUAGAGUGGCGUCCGGGUGAGUAACACGUGGGUAAUUUGCCUUCGGGUGGGGAAUAACCUAGGGAAACUUGGGCUAAUACCGCAUAAUGCAGCGGCACCUAAUGGUGAUUAGUUGUUAAAGCGGCGGAUCGCAAGACCUCGCGCCUGAAGAGGGGCCUGCGGCACAUUCGCUAAUUGGUGAGGUAACGGGUCACCAAUGGCUGCGAUCUGUAGUUGGUCUGAUAGGACGGGCAGCC